UGGGGAAUCUUGGACAAUGGGCGCAAGCCUGAUCCAGCCAUGCCGCGUGAGUGAAGAAGGCCUUAGGGUUGUAAAGCUCUUUUACCAGGGACGAUAAUGACGGUACCUGGAGAAUAAGCCCCGGCAAACUUCGUGCCAGCAGCCGCGGUAAUACGAAGGGGGCUAGCGUUGUUCGGAAUUACUGGGCGUAAAGCGCACGUAGGCGGGUCGUUAAGUCAGGGGUGAAAUCCCGGAGCUCAACUCCGGAACUGCCUUUGAUACUGGCGAUCUAGAGGUCGAGAGAGGUGAGUGGAAUUCCGAGUGUAGAGGUGAAAUUCGUAGAUAUUCGGAAGAACACCAGUGGCGAAGGCGGCUCACUGGCUCGAUACUGACGCUGAGGUGCGAAAGCGUGGGAGCAAACAGGAUUAGAUACCCAGGUAGUCCCUGAGCGGGCUGGCAAGGCGCAU
rnacentral:rRNA from 1 species